CAAGACUCAAAGCAACAGAGGACAAAGAGUUUGUUAAUGUUAGUUUGGGGAGAAAAAAAACAGGUUUAAGUGUUAAUCAAGAACUCUCUCAGUUGGUUAGAGGAUCCAUCUCAAGAAAAGAAAAAACACGAUGGAGACACAGGAAUUUACA